GUCAAUUGGGAUAGCUGUAGCAUUUGGGAUCUUGGGAUUAUUCGUGCUUAUCUGUUUGGUGCAGAUCUGCAUUAAGAAAAUCAAAUGUUGCAAAAAUCCUUCGGUGAAAGACAAAAUUUUAAAGAAAGUUGGGAUUAAGAAAUCUUCAAGUCCAUUUUCAGUCAGCAGAAUCGUUGACAAGAAGUAACAGCCGUCACUGCUCCUAUGUCAUUCUCCCUGCCUAUAGAUAGUGUACAUAGACCAUGACAGAAUCUAUUUUAGUCCAUUAUUUACAACAUCUGUAACUGUAAUUUUUUCCAUAUUGUUAUGAAAUUAUUUCUGUGUAAAGUGUGAUUCACGUUUCUGAGGUGAAGGUGUUAGUGAUGGGGAUGUUGAUGAUUCAUAUCUAGAAAAAAAAAUCAUUUUCACACAGCUAAGGAAAAACAGCAAACCUUUAUUGCUUUUUGCGAUCGCUUCUCUCGUUGUUUUUCUCAUUUUCUGACAUUCUCUGAAUUUUGUCACCGUACAAGUCUCACCACAAAAAAACGGCGAAGCCUACUUCUCACGCCAGACUGUUUCCACAUAAAAAUGACGUCAAAGGUCACCAUAUACACUGAUGAAAUAUUAGUCUCUUCGGUCGCAGAAAGGUCACAAAAUAUCCAUUGUGAUUUACAAAGAAAUCCUCUUGGGUGAUACACUUCCUGUUAAGGUGAUGGAAUAUGGAACUUGACUUGUAUAUCAAGAUUUCUAAUUUCAAAGAAAAAUAAGGUCAUAUUUGAUCAUUUUUGGCCAGAUUUAUUAGACUAGAAGUAUCCUUUUUGUUAGUGUGUUUUUUUUUUUUUUUAUUCAAGUUUUCACUCAAAUUGUACUAUAUAGCUAUUCAGUUUAUGAAAUGCAAAAUAGAACCAUUUUGGACCCCUGUGAA